rnacentral:rRNA from 1 species
AGUGAACGCUGGCGGUAGGCCUAACACAUGCAAGUCGAACGGCAGCACAGUAAGAGCUUGCUCUUACGGGUGGCGAGUGGCGGACGGGUGAGGAAUACAUCGGAAUCUACUUUUUCGUGGGGGAUAACGUAGGGAAACUUACGCUAAUACCGCAUACGACCUACCGGUGAAAGCAGGGGAUCUUCGGACCUUGCGCGAUUGAAUGAGCCGAUGUCGGAUUAGCUAGUUGGCGGGGUAAAGGCCCACCAAGGCGACGAUCCGUAGCUGGUCUGAGAGGAUGAUCAGCCACACUGGAACUGGGACACGGUCCAGACUCCUACGGGAGGCAGCAGUGGGGAAUAUUGGACAAUGGGCGCAAGCCUGAUCCAGCCAUCCCGCGUGGGUGAAGAAGGCCUUCGGGUUGUAAAGCCCUUUUGUUGGGAAAGAAAAGCAGCAGGUUAAUACCCCGCUGUUCUGACGGUACCCAAAGAAUAAGCACCGGCUAACUUCGUG